AACGGUCUAUACCUGCGGUACCUGCGGAGGGAUCAUUACCGAGUUAUCAACUCCCAAACCCCUGUGAACAUACCCGAACGUUGCCUCGGCGGGACCGCCCCGGCGCCCCUAGCGGCCCGGAACCAGGCGCCCGCCGGAGGACCCAAACCCUUGCUUUAAACAGUGGCAUACUCUCUGAGUCUCACAAACAAAAAAUAAAUCAAAACUUUCAACAAUGGAUCUCUAGAUCGGAAGAGCACA
rnacentral:misc_RNA from 1 species